UACGUAGGGUGCGAGCGUUGUCCGGAUUUAUUGGGCGUAAAGAGCUCGUAGGCGGUUUGUCGCGUCGGCCGUGAAAUCUCCACGCUUAACGUGGAGCGUGCGGUCGAUACGGGCAGACUUGAGUUCGGUAGGGGAGACUGGAAUUCCUGGUGUAGCGGUGAAAUGCGCAGAUAUCAGGAGGAACACCGGUGGCGAAGGCGGGUCUCUGGGCCGAUACUGACGCUGAGGAGCGAAAGCGUGGGGAG
rnacentral:rRNA from 1 species